AGUGAACGCUGGCGGCAGGCCUAAUACAUGCAAGUCGAACGGCAGCACAGCAGAGCUUGCUCUGUGGGUGGCGAGUGGCGGACGGGUGAGGAAUACAUGGGAAUCUGCCCAGUCGUGGGGGAUAACGUAUGGAAACGUACGCUAAUACCGCAUGCGCCCUACGGGGGAAAGCCGGGGACCGCAAGGCCUGGCGCGAUUGGAUGAGCCCAUGUUCGAUUAGCUAGUUGGCGGGGUAAAGGCCCACCAAGGCGACGAUCGGUAGGGGGUCUGAGAGGAUGAUCCCCCACACUGGUACUGAGACACGGACCAGACUCCUACGGGAGGCAGCAGUAAGGAAUAUUGGACAAUGGUCGCAAGACUGAUCCAGCCAUGCCGCGUGCAGGAUGAACGAUCUAUGAUCUGUAAACUGCUUUUGUUCGGGAAUAAACCCCUUCACGUGUGGAGGGCUGAAUGUACCGAAAGAAUAAGGGUCGGCUAACUUCGUGCC
rnacentral:rRNA from 1 species